rfam:Triticum aestivum genome assembly, contig: Triticum_aestivum_CS42_TGACv1_scaffold_485761_6AS
CAUAUACUCCCUCCGUUCGGAAUUACUUGUCUCGGAAAUGGAUGUAUCUAGAACUAAAAUACAUCUAGAUACAUCCAUUUCUGCGACAAGUAAUUCCGAACGGAGGGAGUAUAUU